AUUGAACGCUGGCGGCAUGCCUUACACAUGCAAGUCGAACGGCAGCACGGGUGCUUGCACCUGGUGGCGAGUGGCGCACGGGUGAGUAAUACAUCGGAACAUGUCCUGUAGUGGGGGAUAGCCCGGCGAAAGCCGGAUUAAUACCGCAUACGAUCUACGGAUGACAGCGGGGGACCUUCGGGCCUCGCGCCAUAGGGUUGGCCGAUGGCUGAUUAGCUAGUUGGUGGGGUAAAGGCCUACCAAGGCGACGAUCAGUAGCUGGUCUGAGAGGACGACCAGCCACACUGGGACUGAGACACGGCCCAGACUCCUACGGGAGGCAGCAGUGGGGAAUUUUGGACAAUGGGCGAAAGCCUGAUCCAGCAAUGCCGCGUGUGUGAAGAAGGCCUUCGGGUUGUAAAGCACUUUUGUCCGGAAAGAAAUCCUUGGCCCUAAUACGGUCGGGGGAUGACGGUACCGGAAGAAUAAGCACCGGCUAACUACGUG
rnacentral:rRNA from 1 species